UACAGAGGGUGCGAGCGUUGUCCGGAAUCACUGGGCGUAAAGGGCGCGUAGGCGGCCACCGCAGGUCGACUGUGAAAUCUCCGGGCUUAACCCGGAAAGGUCAGCCGAUACUGCGGGGCUAGAGUGCAGAAGGGGCAGCUGGAAUUCUCGGUGUAGCGGUGAAAUGCGUAGAUAUCGAGAGGAACGCCUGCGGCGAAGGCGGGUUGCUGGGCUGACACUGACGCUGAGGCGCGAAAGCUAGGGGAGCGAACGGG
rnacentral:rRNA from 1 species